rnacentral:rRNA from 1 species
UACGGAGGGGACUAGCGUUGUUCGGAAUUACUGGGCGUAAAGCGCACGUAGGCGGCUUGGCAAAGUCGGAUGUGAAAUCCCCUCGGCUCAACCAAGGAAGUGCAUCCGAAAACUGCUGAGCUUGAGUACUUAAGAGGAUCGCGGAAUUCCCGGGUGUAGAGGUGAAAUUCGUAGAUAUCGGGAAGGAACACCAGUGGCGAAGGGCGGCGAUCUGGGAAGUUACUGACGCUGAGAGGGCGAAAGCGUGGGGAGCAAACAGG